CCUUAGUAACGGCGAGUGAAGCGGCAAAAGCUCAAAUUUGAAAUCUAGCACUUUCAGUGUUCGAGUUGUAAUUUGAAGAAGGUAACUUUGGAGUUGGCUCUUGUCUAUGUUCCUUGGAACAGGACGUCACAGAGGGUGAGAAUCCCGUGCGAUGAGAUGUCCAACUCUAUGUAAAGUGCUUUCGAAGAGUCGAGUUGUUUGGGAAUGCAGCUCUAAGUGGGUGGUAAAUUCCAUCUAAAGCUAAAUAUUGGCGAGAGACCGAUAGCGAACAAGUACAGUGAUGGAAAGAUGAAAAGAACUUUGAAAAGAGAGUGAAAAAGUACGUGAAAUUGUUGAAAGGGAAGGGCUUGAGAUCAGACUUGGUAUUUUGCGUUCCCUUCCUUUUUGGUUGGGUUCCUCGCAGUUUACUGGGCCAGCAUCGGUUUGGAUGGUAGGAUAAUGACAUUGGAAUGUAGCUUUACUUCGGUGAAGUGUUAUAGACUUUGUUGAUACUACCUAUCUAGACCGAGGACUGCGUCUUUGACUAGGAUGCUGGCGUAAUGAUCUUAAGCCGCCCGUCUUGAAACAACGGACCA
rnacentral:rRNA from 1 species